AGCGAACGCUGGCGGCAGGCCUAACACAUGCAAGUCGAACGGACCCUUCGGGGUUAGUGGCGGACGGGUGAGUAACACGUGGGAACGUGCCUUUAGGUUCGGAAUAGCUCCUGGAAACGGGUGGUAAUGCCGAAUGUGCCCUUCGGGGGAAAGAUUUAUCGCCUUUAGAGCGGCCCGCGUCUGAUUAGCUAGUUGGUGAGGUAAAGGCUCACCAAGGCGACGAUCAGUAGCUGGUCUGAGAGGAUGACCAGCCACAUUGGGACUGAGACACGGCCCAAACUCCUACGGGAGGCAGCAGUGGGGAAUCUUGCGCAAUGGGCGAAAGCUUGACGCAGCCAUGCCGCGUGGAUGAUGAAGGUCUUAGGAUUGUAAAAUCCUUUCACCGGUGAAGAUAAUGACUGUAGCCGGAGAAGAAGCCCCGGCAAACUACGUGCCAGCCGCCGCGGUAACAC
rnacentral:rRNA from 1 species